GUGGGGAAUUUUGGACAAUGGGCGCAAGCCUGAUCCAGCAAUGCCGCGUGCAGGAAGAAGGCCUUCGGGUUGUAAACUGCUUUUGUACGGAACGAAACGGUCCGGGUUAAUACCCUGGGCUAAUGACGGUACCGUAAGAAUAAGCACCGGCUAACUACGUGCCAGCAGCCGCGGUAAUACGUAGGGUGCAAGCGUUAAUCGGAAUUACUGGGCGUAAAGCGUGCGCAGGCGGUUUUGUAAGACAGGCGUGAAAUCCCCGGGCUCAGCCUGGGAAUUGCGCUUGUGACUGCAAGGCUGGAGGGCGGCAGAGGGGGAUGGAAUUCCGCGUGUAGCAGUGAAAUGCGUAGAUAUGCGGAGGAACACCGAUGGCGAAGGCAAUCCCCUGGGCCUGCACUGACGCUCAUGCACGAAAGCGUGGGGAGCAAACAGGAUUAGAUACCCGUGUAGUCC
rnacentral:rRNA from 1 species